rnacentral:ncRNA from 1 species
AAAGGCAAACUGGCCUAAAGGUCAGGACGCAAAGCCUCCGGUCUAAGGAUCCAAAAGGAUCUACGAUAGCGGGGUUGCAUUA